UACGAAGGGGGCUAGCGUUGUUCGGAUUUACUGGGCGUAAAGCGCACGUAGGCGGUUUGUUAAGUCAGAGGUGAAAUCCCGGAGCUCAACUCCGGAACUGCCUUUGAUACUGGCAGCUAGAGUCCGGAAGAGGUAAGUGGAACUCCUAGUGUAGAGGUGGAAUUCGUAGAUAUUAGGAAGAACACCAGUGGCGAAGGCGGCUUACUGGUCCGGAACUGACGCUGAGGUGCGAAAGCGUGGGGAGCAAACAGG
rnacentral:rRNA from 1 species